rnacentral:rRNA from 1 species
AUGGAAGGUAGCAGUAUAUGUAUUUGUAGCAAAUCAUCAUCGCCCAUAAAUAAAUCAUCUCUUGCCCGCUUCCUCUGUCCGGUUGUCAACUCAAAUUGCUUUGGUUCACAAGUUCGUUUCAUCGUACAUCUAGCAGCUAACUACUCCAUGAUCACAGCAGUAAACAUUGAUAAGAGUACAAGCAUUGGAGGAGUACUCACCACGUUCGAGGAAGUCGUCAUCAUGGUGGUGGUGGUCGAGGAAGUCGUAGGUGCUGGUGGCAUCAUCACGGAGCAGUUACCAUCUUCUCCUCGACUUAAAAUGUAG